AUGGCUUCCAUGGCCACGAACAACCUUCAAACUGGAGAUGCAUCACCAACCGAGCAGGACCCUGCAAAUGGCAGCGGCAAGCCUCCCCAAAAGCCUUGUGCAGACUCAAAGCUGUAUGAGUUCAAGGAGCAACUCCUGCUGCUGUCGACUCUGGUGGCAACGGUGACGUAUGUCGCCGGUCUGAACCUGCCGGGCGGGUACUGGGAGCAGGAUGACCCCGGAGGGCACAUGGCCGGCGAUCCGAUCCUACGGGAUACCCAUUACCGCCGGUACCUCAUCUUCUACUACUGCAACGCCACAGCACUCGCCGCGUCGCUCGUGGUCUCACUCAUCCUCAUCAUCCUGAAGAGGAAGGACCAUGUUUGGACAGUGGUGCUGCGGGUGGUGAUGGUUUUGGACCUGCUCGGCCUCAUGGGCGCCUACGGUGCAGGGAGCUGCCGGGAUGCGUUCACAACGAUCUACGCGGGGGUAACCUUCUUCCUUUUGGUAUUGAUCAUCAUUGCUGUUUUCUUCUACGUCUCGGUCAAUGGUGGUGGUGGGGAUAACUCCAGCUCCAAAAACAAUACCAGCUCGCAUCCUGUCUCAGUCUCCAUCCCCAUAUACGAUCCUAAAUCGAACCCUGACUCCAACUCCAUCCCCAUCUCCGUUUCCAAAUCAAAUCCUGACUCCAACUUGAACUUGGAAACCAAGAAAGAAGAGAAGGAGAAGAUCAAUGUGUUGAUGUUACUCGCAACCUUUGUCGUCACCAUCACGUACGUAGCUGGGUUGAACCCGCCCGGUGGCUUCUGGAGCAGCACCCAAGACAGACACCGUUUGAGCGACCCGGUGUUACAAGCCCGUGGUCGGUACCGUGGCUUCUUUGUUUGCAACACCACUUCGUUCGCCGUGUCCCUGCUCAUCAUCGUGUUGCUCUUGGAGAGGAAGCUACUGAAGGACAAGCUAAGCCAGAACUUCACGGUGCGAUUCUUGGCGCCAUACGUGUGGAUCGCCGUCACAAUGUUGGGCCUUAUGGGGGCCUAUGCUGCUGGGGGCUGCAGGGAGGCUGACAAUACCACUCUUGUCCUUGCGGUCCCUGUCGGCGUAUGCCUACUGCUGUGGUUUAUUACUUACAGAAAUGGUUGGGAACAGCUCACGACCAAGCUUCAUGAUGUUUCGACAAAUUUCAAGGUGCUGUUCGGCAUUCCUAAAGGCACCUGCGAAGGCGCGAAGGAAGCACAUCAGCAAAAUACCCGCUAUCUUGUUAUGCUCCUAGCUACUCUUGUUGUGACCAUCACAUACCAAGCCGGCCUAGAUCCACCCGGAGGCCUUUGGCUAGACAACCAGGAUGGGCACAAGAUGAGCCACCCAGUGCUCCAAAUGACACAUCCUACUCGGUACAGAGUGUUCUUCUAUAGCAACUCGGCAGCUUUUGUCACAUCUUUGGUCGUCAUCAUGAUGCUCCAGAGCAAAUUUCUUCUCAACCGGCACACACUGGAAGCAACCCUGGUGCUGGACCUAUUUGGCCUCGUUACUGCAUAUGGUGCUGGGAGCACUAGGGACGUAAACGCAUCCUUCUACAUCAUCGCCUUGGCAGGCAUUGUCCUUGUCUAUGUCAUCGUCCAUAUCACCAUAACAGAUCAUGCCCCUGAGCCAGAGGAUGGUGCUGCUGUACUGAAGGAUCUCGAUGACAAGCGCAAGGUGCUACUGUUGGUUGCAAUCUUGGCCGCUACCCUCACGUACCAAGCUGGUCUCACCCCACCUGGUGGCUUUUGGUUAGCGGAUGACCAAGGGCUCGAUCGGCAUGCAGGUUUCCCUGUCCUCUUCAACAAUUACCCUCGCCGUUACAAUGCAUUCUUCUACUGCAAUGCGACGAGCUUCAUGGCGUCUAUAACCCUCAUUCUUCUCCUAGUCAAUCCGAAGCUAUACAGGCCAGGUAUACGUUGUUAUGCACUCUAUGUGUGCAUGUUGGUGGGAAUGUUUGGCCUGAUGGGUGCCUAUGCUGCUGGAAGCGCUCGACAACUGAAGACCUCCAUCUAUGUAUUAACCUUGGUUGGUAUGGUUUUAGCCUUUAUAGCCUUUCUAGUUUUCAUUUUCUGGUUCAUCAUCAAGUCUGAAGCCAGCAGUAAAGAUGGGCAAGAUGAAGCAGUUCAUAGUAAUACCGACAAAAACAUCAUCAGCAGCAGCAGUACUACCACCAGCAUCAACACUAGUGUUGUCGACGCUGCCACCACCACCACCACCAUCAUCACCACCACCAUUACCACUACCACCACUAGCAACAACAUCAACAGCAGCAGCAACAACAACGACAAUCAAAGCAAUAGCAACAACACCACCAGCAGCAGCAAGGACAAGAAUGAGAAAGAGAAAGAGAAAGAAACGGUUGAAUACUUCAUGUUGUUGGGAAUCCUGGCUGCGAGUAUGACAUACCAGAUAGGCCUAAAACCACCGGGAGGCCUGUGGCAAGACAACGACAAUGGACACUCUGUUGGCAACCCCGUCCUCCACGACAUCAACAAGCAUCGGUACGACGUUUUCUUCUACAGCAACUCCACUUCCUUCAUGGCCUCAAUUGUUGUCAUUGUCCUGCUCCUUCCAUGGACGACGAGCCACAAACGGAAACCGCCGCUCUGGCUAAUGCAUAUGGCUAUUUUGCUGGACAUGCUUAGUCUCCUAGUGGCAUACGCAGCAGGCAGUACUAGGAAGUGGGAAACAUCCAGAAACGUCAUAUUCAUCAUCAUCCCCGUCUUGUUAUACAUUGCGAUCUACGCAGCUGCGUCAGUCCUCUUCCCAAAGGAGGGCCGGACUUUCUGGACAUGCUUGACCUCCUGGUGGCAUACGCGGCAGGAAAUCAGUAAGAAGCCUACACAGCUUCUUCCCCAGGAAAGACCGGUGUGA
rnacentral:rRNA from 1 species